rnacentral:rRNA from 1 species
AUUGAACGCUGGCGGCAGGCCUAACACAUGCAAGUCGAGCGAGCGGCGGACGGGUGAGUAAUGUAUGGGGACUGCCCGAUAGAGGGGGAUAACUACUGGAAACGGUAGCUAAUACCGCAUACUAUCGGAUAACCCAUAUGGGAUUAGCUAGUAGGUGAGGUAAUGGCUAAACUAGGCGACGAUCCCUAGCUGGUCUGAGAGGAUGAUCCGCCACCUGGGAAUUGAGACACGGCCUAGACUCCUACGGAGGCAGCAGUGGGGUAUAUUGCACAAGGGGCGAAAGCCUGAUGCAGCCAUGCCGCGUGUAUGAAGAAGGCCCUAGUGUUGUAAAGUACUUUCAGUCGUGAGGCGUUACCGACAGAGGAAGCACCGGCUAACUCCGUGCCAGCAGCCGCGGUAAUAC